rnacentral:rRNA from 1 species
UACGGUUACCUUGUUACGACUUCACCCCAGUCGCUGACCCUACCGUGGCCUGCUGCCUCUAAAAGUUAGCACACAGUCUUCGGGUAAAACCAACUCCCAUGGUGUGACGGGCGGUGUGUACAAGGCCCGGGAACGUAUUCACCGUGGCAUGCUGAUCCACGAUUACUAGCGAUUCCAACUUCAUGCUCUCGAGUUGCAGAGAACAAUCCGAACUGAGACGGCUUUUAGAGAUUAGCUCCCCAUUGCUGAGUGGCUGCUCACUGUCACCGCCAUUGUAGCACGUGUGUAGCCCAGCCCGUAAGGGCCAUGAUGAUUUGACGUCAUCCCCACCUUCCUCCGGCUUAUCACCGGCAGUCCCUCUAGAGUGCCCAACUUAAUGCUGGCAACUAAAGGCGAGGGUUGCGCUCGUUGCGGGACUUAACCCAACAUCUCACGACACGAGCUGACGACAGCCAUGCAGCACCUGUUUUCCAGGCCGAAGCACUCCCGUAUCUCUACAGGAUUCUGUCAAUGUCAAGGGCAGGUAAGGUUCUUCGCGUUGCAUCGAAUUAAACCACAUGCUCCACCGCUUGUGCGGGUCCCCGUCAAUUCCUUUGAGUUUUACCGUUGCCGGCGUACUCCCCAGGCGGAGAACUUAACGCGUUAGCUGCGACACCGAAGGACAGAUUCCCCCGACAUCUAGUUCUCAUCGUUUACGGC